UAGGAGAUUGAGCUUUCUUCUUAGUUGACAUUCUAUCCAGUUGCUCUUUUUUUCCUUGAAAUAGUCUUGUCUAUAAGCUGGAUCUCUAAUGAAUUUAGCACGCACUUCAUCAAUCUGAAUAGUACUUGCCUCAUCUAGUUCCUCCUUAGUCAAAAUAUUAUCCAAAUCAAAAACAUUUUCCUCUAACCAUGCUUGAAUAUCCUUGUUAUGCUCACGGCUUGGACUUUCCUCAUUAGAUUGAAUUGGAAAAAAAAAAACAAGUUUUCUGUUGAACGAAGUUGAAUCUCCAUAACCCUAAUGACAUCUCUUUUAUCCAUACCCUUAUUCUAUUCUCUUCUUCUCUCUUUGUUUGCCUUCUCCACCUCUUUGGUUUUGUGAUAAAACCCUAACCCAUGUAUUAUUUUGCAGUUACAAUCAAUAAACCCUAACCCAUGUUUAUUUUGCAGGUACAAAAGAGCAAUAUCACAUUCUGUUAAUCGAUAUUUGGUUGGUAUAAAUUGCAGUGUGGAUUAUGUGAAUCGAUUCUUGCUAUCGUUUCUUCUUCUCAGCACUUUGGUCGUUGGUUUUAUUUUGAUUACAAGUUAUUUCAUUGAAAAAAACGGCAUUCCGGAAAAA